UGAAAGUGCAGUUUGGGGCGUCCCAUG
rnacentral:piRNA from 1 species